GACGAGCGCUGGCGGCGUGCCUAAUACAUGCAAGUCGAACGCUUCUUUCCUCCCGAGUGCUUGCACUCAAUUGGAAAGAGGAGUGGCGGACGGGUGAGUAACACGUGGGUAACCUACCCAUCAGAGGGGGAUAACACUUGGAAACAGGUGCUAAUACCGCAUAACAGUUUAUGCCGCAUGGCAUAAGAGUGAAAGGCGCUUUCGGGUGUCGCUGAUGGAUGGACCCGCGGUGCAUUAGCUAGUUGGUGAGGUAACGGCUCACCAAGGCCACGAUGCAUAGCCGACCUGAGAGGGUGAUCGGCCACACUGGGACUGAGACACGGCCCAGACUCCUACGGGAGGCAGCAGUAGGGAAUCUUCGGCAAUGGACGAAAGUCUGACCGAGCAACGCCGCGUGAGUGAAGAAGGUUUUCGGAUCGUAAAACUCUGUUGUUAGAGAAGAACAAGGACGUUAGUAACUGAACGUCCCCUGACGGUAUCUAACCAGAAAGCCACGGCUAACUACGUGCCAGCAGCCGCGGUAAUACGUAGGUGGCAAGCGUUGUCCGGAUUUAUUGGGCGUAAAGCGAGCGCAGGCGGUUUCUUAAGUCUGAUGUGAAAGCCCCCGGCUCAACCGGGGAGGGUCAUUGGAAACUGGGAGACUUGAGUGCAGAAGAGGAGAGUGGAAUUCCAUGUGUAGCGGUGAAAUGCGUAGAUAUAUGGAGGAACACCAGUGGCGAAGGUGGCUCUCUGGUCUGUAACUGACGCUGAGGCUCGAAAGCGUGGGGAGCAAACGGG
rnacentral:rRNA from 1 species